rnacentral:rRNA from 1 species
ACGGAGGGUGCAAGCGUUGUUCGGAAUCAUUGGGCGUAAAGCGUGCGUAGGCGGUGCAGCAAGUCGGGUGUGAAAGCCCAGGGCUCAACCCUGGAACUGCGCUCGAAACUGCUGGACUUGAGUCCGGGAGAGGGUUGCGGAAUUGUCGGUGUAGAGGUGAAAUUCGUAGAUAUCGGCAAGAACAUCUGUGGCGAAGGCGGCAACCUGGAUCGAGACUGACGCUGAGGCACGAAAGCGUGGGGAGCAAACAGG